rnacentral:snRNA from 1 species
AUACUUAUCUGGCAGGGGAGAUGCCAUGAUCACAAAGAUGAUUUUCCCAGGGCGAGGCUUAUCCAUUGUACUCAGGAUGUGCUGACCCUGCAAUUUCCCCAAAUGUGGGAAACUUGACUGCAUAAUUUGUGGUAGUGGGGGGCUGCGUUCGCGCUCUAUCCUA